AUUGAACGCUGGCGGCAGGCCUAACACAUGCAAGUCGAGCGGAGCGGCGGACGGGUGAGUAAUGCCUAGGAAUCUGCCUGGUAGUGGGGGAUAACGUCCGGAAACGGGCGCUAAUACCGCAUACUAUCAGAUGAGCCUAGGUCGGAUUAGCUAGUUGGUGGGGUAAAGGCCUACCAAGGCGACGAUCCGUAACUGGUCUGAGAGGAUGAUCAGUCACUCUGGAACUGAGACAGGUUCCAUUCCCCUAGGGGGGGGAGCAGGGGGGAAUUUGGGACAAUGGGCGAAAGUCUGAUCCAGCCAUGCCGCGUGUGUGAAGAGGGUUUUCGGAUUGUAAAGCACUUUAAGUUGGGAGACGUUACCAACAGAAUAGGCACCGGCUAACUUCGUGCCAGCGGCCGCGUAAUUC
rnacentral:rRNA from 1 species